rnacentral:rRNA from 1 species
UACGUAGGGUGCAAGCGUUGUCCGGAAUUAUUGGGCGUAAAGAGCUCGUAGGUGGCCUGUCGCGUCGGCUGUGAAAACUCGGGGCUCAACUCCGAGCUUGCAGUCGAUACGGGCAGGCUAGAGUUCGGCAGGGGAGACUGGAAUUCCUGGUGUAGCGGUGAAAUGCGCAGAUAUCAGGAGGAACACCGAUGGCGAAGGCAGGUCUCUGGGCCACUACUGACGCUGAGAAGCGAAAGCAUGGGGAGCAAACAGG